UGUGUGUGUUGGUUGGGGGGGGUGACUGCAAAAAUAUAAAUGCCUAGCAUAAAAAAAUCUUUUUAAAUAGCUUACUCUGCCUUCCUUCCUACAAAGAAUUGCUAAACCAAUGUGUGUUCUUGCAGACUGCUCCUUUUUCCAGAUAAACAUACAUGAGGAUGGUUUCUUUUUUGCAUACAUAAAAUGUAUGUAAAAUAUGUUUCUGCUACCUGCAUCUUUCACUUCAUGGCAAAUCAGAAGCAUGUCUAUAUAGGCAUUGCAUGGUGGUCACUGUCCCUGAGGCAAAGAGUUUGAGCCAAGCCCUGUACUUAGCAGUGAUGAAGCCUUAGCCAAGUUACAUAACAUCCCUUUCCCCACAAGACAAAGAAAAAAGUUCUAAUAACAGAAACCAAAGUGUUAGUAUUAUGAAGGCUCAGUUAAUAUUAUAAGAGAGCUAAUUUCUUAAGUGAUGGCCCUGGGAAUAGGAGGGUCACCAAGCACCAUCUGUAUGUUAUUCAUUGCUUUUAUUUCCUUUUUUAAUUCUUUAAUUCCCAUACAGUGCUUAGGUAAACCAUAACCGAUUGAACCUGUUCUCUAAUAGACUCGGGUGAUUAUUUUUCCCAACACAAUUUUUUUAUUGAUUCUUUAUCAUUCCAGCACUAAAGAUGGAACCCAAGGCCUUGAACAUGCUAAGCAAGCAAACAUCCCACCACUGACCUACAGCCCCAGUCUUGCAGCGAGAACUUCUGAAUACAGGUCCUUGCACAGGACUGUUUCCAGUGUGUGAACUGCUGCAUCUAAGGUCAGGCUCAUUAGUACUGAAACACGUUGCCAGCAUUUCCCCCCCAAAGGCCACACUAAUUCAUAUCCCUGCCAGCACCUCACGUGUGCCGGUUUCUUAACAUCUCCACAACACUGGCAGCCCAGAUCUUUGGCAUCCUUUCUUCACUUGCCUUCCCUAAACGAAACCUAAAUCAAAACCACCAACAAUGCUCUGGUUAAAGUCCCAGGGACACCUAAUCCCUUUGUCUCUUCUAAACAGAAUUAAGCUUUUCGGCUCUCUGACAGACCUUCAGUUGCCUGGACACGGUUCUGAGAUGACUUCGAAAAAUAUAAAUAAAACACACUUGCUGUUCCCUAACACCCUCCAGAGAAGCCUGAGGAAGCCUGCAUGAGGCCCUGCUGUCCUGCUUUCCAUCACAAGCUAAAAGAUUUCCAAUAGCAGCUGGUGUUUUCCUGGGUGGAGAUCAAAGCCAGAAUUUGUAUAUAAACAUUAUCCCAGGGCUGAUGGGGUGGGGGCGUGGGGUGGAGUGGAGGUGCUGAAGGCAGAGGCUGCCACAUCCUACUUAUGUCUUUAAAGGACAGGGCAGACGUGAACACCUCCAGCCUGUCCCACCAGAGCCCUGAUGCAGAAGGGAGACCCAAGCCAGCCCAUACAGGCACAGUCAACACAAAGAGAGCCAAGGUGGAAGUUGGUGCAGAGCUCAGCUGGCAGGCAGAGGAGAGCCAGCAGGUUCAAAAGUUUUGAGGGGAUCAUGAGCCACUUGGGAGGCUGAGCAGGAGAGCACUGAACCCUGCAGGUGGAGGAUGGGUCCUACUUCUGAGAUUCCUACAGAACAGGAGACCUUCUCAGGAUCCUGGAGGUGACCUUGGCAGGGAACUCCUACAUCCGGUGCCCGUUUUCCUGUUUGUCAAGUGGGCAGCCGCAGCCUCUCACAGGGCUUGCUGUGGACUAUUGGAUAAACACAACAUAUGUGGAAAAUAAUCUUGAAGAAUAAACUCAAACACUUAAUAUCUUGUUUCUCUACUCCAUCCAACCGUUCACAUCCCAAGCCAGCAUCUGAAUCCACUCCCACCUGAACUCUAGAUGAGAAUCCCUAGCUCCCCCUGCCUUCCUGGUGUAUGGUCAAACGGAGAAUAUGGAGAAAAGGGCGGGCAUCCCACGUGUCACCAUCCUUUAGGCCCUCAGUCAUCCCACUAUGAACACUAAGUAUAGCAGGUUAACAUUCCACCGAGUCCUGAUUAGGUAUGUGCUUUGUGUAAUUUUUUUCAUUCUAUUCCUUUAUGAGGAAAGUAAAGUUCAGGAUGGUAAACUACGAAAACAUAAGAGUCAUGUGGCUAGGAGACGUCAGAUUCAAGGUCAGAUGUCAGUCUGUACCACAAUGGGCUUUUUUUAACAGGCUCGUAAAAGCUGCUUUUGACGGAACAACACUGACUCUGUCCUUGGGUCCACCUUUAACUAAAAGCUGGCUGAGAGCGCACCUCUUCCUUCCUCUUGUAUCUGUCUCCUUUACUUUGGGUCAGUCAUUCACUCAGUACUGCAGGUAGGUGUUUGAAUCACUUGGGAGUGUCUAUUUAAAACACAAUGAUUAUCUAACCCUUUCAGCCCCAUCCAGUGCUGAAAGCAGAAACAGUGACUGAGGCACUUCUGUUGGUGUUUUCAAAACAAACCCAAAAGGCGCCAGAGGUCUCUAGCCAUUGUCUUUAGUAACCUUGAAUUCCAGCAACACUUCAAGAACAUCACCCAGUGAUGGGAUCAGCCCUGGGAAGGAAUGAGGUCUUCUGAGGUUCAGAUCACUCCCCUCAAGCAGUAAGGACUUCUUGAUUUAACCAGACUACCUCAUAGAACCAGAACUCAGGACUACACUCUGGCCAAGGCUGUUUAAACCAGGCAUAUCUCUUCUGUUCUCUACAGCAAAGACUGCCAGUCCUGUCCUGUCACCAAAGCAGAGACAGAAGCCCACAAGGAUGCACGUGUGUGUAACCACAACUCCACUUCUCCCAUGCAUGGACACCUAGGCCAUCUGUCCUAUAAUAAGCCCUCAGUAGGGGCUGGAGAGAUGGCUCAGGGGUUAAGAGCACUGACUGCUCUCCAAGAGGU
rnacentral:sRNA from 1 species